GCAGGGUAGAAGUAGACAUAACUGCCUUCUCCCAUCCUGGACUGCACUUUGGAGGCUGGAGAGGCGAUUGCAAGAUGAAAGCUUGGCUAUUUGCAUUGUUUUUGUUGGCAUUCAUGUGCAAGGACCCAGUGGAGAGUCUGAUGUGUUACAAAUGUGCAAGCUUUCGUUGUAAUUUCAAGACAUACUGUCGGAAUGAUCAAAGGGUCUGUUUUACGUAUACUCCUUCACCGGGAUUCGUAAAUAAAGGAUGUGCACCAUUUUGCAUAGCUACUGCCGAGAUAAGAUGUUGCUCAACCAACUUUUGCAACCACUAAAAGGAUGCACGCCAGUUUGCGUGAAUAGUACUGACUUAUGUUGCUCAACCGACUUUUGCAACUAGCUUUCUUUAGCUAAUCAGCAAGCAUUGAUUAAAACAAAUCAUGCCAAA